UAAUGUAUGGGGAUCUGCCCGAUAGAGGGGGAUAACUACUGGAAACGGUGGCUAAUACCGCAUAAUGUCUACGGACAAAGCAGGGGCUCUUCGGACCUUGCACUAUCGGAUGAACCCAUAUGGGAUUAGCUAGUAGGUGGGGUAAAGGCUCACCUAGGCGACGAUCUCUAGCUGGUCUGAGAGGAUGAUCAGCCACACUGGGACUGAGACACGGCCCAG
rnacentral:rRNA from 1 species